rnacentral:tRNA from 1 species
GCCUGGGUAGCCAAGCCCGGUUACGGCGGCAGUCUGGAAAGCUGCUGUCCAUUGGACGCAUGAGUUCGAAUCUCAUCCCAGGCGCCA